UGGGGAAUUUUGGACAAUGGGGGAAACCCUGAUCCAGCCAUCCCGCGUGUGCGAUGAAGGCCUUCGGGUUGUAAAGCACUUUUUGCAGGAAAGAAACGUCAUGGGUUAAUACCCCGUGAAACUGACGGUACCUGCAGAAUAAGCACCGGCUAACUACGUGCCAGCAGCCGCGGUAAUACGUAGGGUGCAAGCGUUAAUCGGAAUUACUGGGCGUAAAGCGUGCGCAGGCGGUUCGGAAAGAAAGAUGUGAAAUCCCAGAGCUCAACUUUAGAACUGCAUUUUUAACUACCGGGCUAGAGUGUGUCAGAGGGAGGUGGAAUUCCGCGUGUAGCAGUGAAAUGCGUAGAUAUGCGGGGGAACACCGAUGGCGAAGGCAGCCUCCUGGGAUAACACUGACGCUCAUGCACGAAAGCGUGGGGAGCAAACAGG
rnacentral:rRNA from 1 species